GUGGGGAAUAUUGGGCAAUGGGGGAAACCCUGACCCAGCGACGCCGCGUGAGGGAAGACGGCCUUCGGGUUGUAAACCUCUUUUGUACGGGAAGAAGGAAGUGACGGUACUGUACGAAUAAGUCCCGGCUAACUACGUGCCAGCAGCCGCGGUAAUACGUAGGGGACGAGCGUUGUCCGGAAUUACUGGGCGUAAAGGGCGCGCAGGCUGUGCUGCAAGUCAGCUGUGAAAUGUCUGGGCUUAACCCGGGCAUGCGGUUGAGACUACAGUGCUGGAGUGCUGUAGAGGCAAGUGGAAUUCCCAGUGUAGCGGUGAAAUGCGUAGAUAUUGGGAAGAACACCGGUGGCGAAGGCGACUUGCUGGGCAGCAACUGACGCUGAGGCGCGAAAGCCAGGGGAGCAAACGGGAUUAGAAACCCUGGUAGUCC
rnacentral:rRNA from 1 species